rnacentral:rRNA from 1 species
CAGUCGCCGCGGUAAUACGUAGGGUGCGAGCGUUAAUCGGAAUUACUGGGCGUAAAGCGUGCGCAGGCGGUUGUGUAAGGCAGGUGUGAAAUCCCCGGGCUUAACCUGGGAACUGCGCUUGUGACUGCACAGCUAGAGUAUGGCAGAGGGGGGUGGAAUUCCACGUGUAGCAGUGAAAUGCGUAGAGAUGUGGAGGAACACCGAUGGCGAAGGCAGCCCCCUGGGCCAAUACUGACGCUCAUGCACGAAAGCGUGGGGAGCAAACAGGAUUAGAUACCCGUGUAGUCCCUGUCUCUCAUAC